rnacentral:rRNA from 1 species
GCGGAGGAAAAGAAAAUAACAAUGAUUUCCCUAGUAACGGCGAGUGAAGAGGAAAAAGCUCAAAGUUGGAACCUAUUUGGCUUAGCUAAAUCGGAUUGUAAACUGUAGAAGUGUUUUCCUGACACGCCAGAUAAAUAAGUCCUUUGGAACAGGGCAUCAUAGAGGGUGAGAAUCCCGUCUUUGGUCUGAGCAGUUGUCUUUUGUGAUACAUUUUCAAAGAGUCAGGUUGUUUGGGAAUGCAGCCUAAAUUGGGUGGUAAAUCUCACCUAAAGCUAAAUAUUUGCGAGAGACCGAUAGCGAACAAGUACCGUGAGGGAAAGAUGAAAAGAACUUUGAAAAGAGAGUUAAACAGUAUGUGAAAUUGUUAAAAGGGAACCGUUUGGAGCCAGACUGGCUUGACUGUAAUCAAUCUAGAUCCUUCUGGAUGCACUUGCAGUUUAUGCCUGCCAAUGACAAUUUGUUUUGAGGGAAAAAACUGGGAAGAAUGUGGCCCCUUUUGGGGUGUUAUAGCUUCUUAGAAAAUACCUUGGAGCGGAUUGAGGAUCGCAGUGAAUGUCUUUUAGGCAAGAUUGCUGGGUGCUUUUGCUGAUAAAUGCUAGAAUUUCUGCUUUUAGGUGGUGCUA